GGGGAUUUAGCUCAGCAGUAGAGCGCUUGCCUAGCACGCAAAAGGCCCUGGAUUCAGUCCCCA
rnacentral:tRNA from 1 species